AGCAGUCGCCGCGGUAAUACGAAGGUCCCGAGCGUUGUUCGGAAUCACUGGGCGUAAAGGGAGCGUAGGCGGCGUGGCAAGUCAGAUGUGAAAUCCCGGGGCUCAACCCCGGAACUGCAUCCGAUACUGCCAUGCUAGAGGAUUGGAGAGGUAGCUGGAAUUCUUGGUGUAGCAGUGAAAUGCGUGGAGAUCAAGAGGAACACUCGUGGCGAAAGCGAGCUACUGGACAAUAACUGACGCUGAGGCUCGAAGGCCAGGGUAGCGAAAGGGAUUAGAUACCCGAGUAGUCCCUGUCUCUUAUAC
rnacentral:rRNA from 1 species